AUACGGAGGGUGCAAGCGUUGUUCGGAAUUAUUGGGCGUAAAGCGCGUGUAGGCGGUUCUUUUAAGUCUGAUGUGAAACGCCCCGGGCUCAACCUGGGAAGUGCAUUGGAAACUGGGAGACUUGAGUACGGGAGAGGAGAGUGGAAUUCCUAGUGUAGGAGUGAAAUCCGUAGAUAUUAGGAGGAACACCGGUGGCGAAGGCGGCUCUCUGGACCGAUACUGACGCUGAGACGCGAAAGCGUGGGUAGC
rnacentral:rRNA from 1 species